rnacentral:sRNA from 1 species
AUAUAGAUGUAUCGCGUGAGGGAUAGAAGCGACAUCCUUUAAUACGGUCAUUGAGCGUAGCCGAAAUGACCGUAUUAAAGAUACAGCGGAAAGCCCGACCCGAA